rnacentral:rRNA from 1 species
UACAGAGGUCCCAAGCGUUGUUCGGAUUUACUGGGCGUACAGGGAGCGUAGGCGGUUGGAUAAGCCCUCCGUGAAAUCUCCAGGCUUAACCUGGAAAGUGCAGAGGGGACUGUUCAGCUAGAGGAUGGGAGAGGAACGCGGAAUUCCAGGUGUAGCGGUGAAAUGCGUAGAUAUCUGGAGGAACACCGGUGGCGAAGGCGGCGUUCUGGACUGCAACUGACACUGAAAAACGAAAGCCAGGGGAGCAAACGGG